GACGAACGCUGGCGGCGUGCUUAACACAUGCAAGUCGAACGGAAAGGCCCUGCUUUUGUGGGGUGCUCGAGUGGCGAACGGGUGAGUAACACGUGAGUAACCUGCCCUUGACUUUGGGAUAACUUCAGGAAACUGGGGCUAAUACCGGAUAGGAGCUCCUGCUGCAUGGUGGGGGUUGGAAAGUUUCGGCGGUUGGGGAUGGACUCGCGGCUUAUCAGCUUGUUGGUGGGGUAGUGGCUUACCAAGGCUUUGACGGGUAGCCGGCCUGAGAGGGUGACCGGGCACAUUGGGACUGAGAUACGGCCCAGACUCCUACGGGAGGCAGCAGUGGGGAAUAUUGCACAAUGGGCGGAAGACUGAUGCAGCAACCCCGCGUGCGGGAUGACGGCCUUCGGGGUGUAAACCGCUUUCGCCUGUGACGAAGAGUGAGUGACGGUAAUGGGUAAAGAAGCACCGGCUAACUACGUG
rnacentral:rRNA from 1 species